rnacentral:rRNA from 1 species
AUGGGCUUCAAUGAUCUUUGGUUGUUUAAUCAAUCUCUGUUAGCACGUCAAGCAUGGCGUCUCAUAGAAUUUCCGGAUAGCCUUUGUGCUCAGGUUCUCCGUGCAAAGUACUACCUGUCUGGCAAUAUUACAGAUAUAGUUUUUACAGGUAAUGGGUCAAGCACUUGGCUGGCUAUUGAACAUGGCUUGGAACUGGUAAAGCAAGGGUAUAUAUGGCGUGUCGGAAAUGGAACAAACAUCAGAAUAUGGCGCGACCCCUGGAUCCCAAAUGGUGCACCUUUCAAACCGAUCACGCCUAAGCGCCGCUGCAGACUCAAAUGGGUGGCCGAACUUCUAAACGCGGAUGGCACAUGGAAUGUUCCAAUCCUCAGGCAACACUUUUUCCCAAUAGACGUCGCAAAUAUAUUGAAAAUCAAGGCAUCUAAGUGGUUUGGGGAUGAUGUUAUCGCAUGGCGACCAGACAAACAUGGGCGUUUCUCAGUCCGCUCAGCGUAUAACAUGAUGAGAGAUAAUAUCAUGGCUCGGCAGUGUGUCGGUGAGUCUAGCACAAGACCUGAUGGAUUCAGACCAGCAUGGAACCUCCUGUGGAAAUGUGGAGCACCACCUAAAGUAUGUAUCUUUGCUUGGAAAGCUGUGCGCGAAGCAUUAGCCACUCGAAGCAACAUGCAGCGUAGGCACAUGGAACCUGAUGUAGUUCAUACCGUGACCCAUGCAAAACCUGAAGUUAAAUGGGAACCCCCACCAGCAGGACAUGUGAAGCUUAAUUUUGAUGGCUCAUUUGUGGCAGAAAAUGGUGCUGCGGGUGCCGGAAUGAUUCUACGGGACCAUGAAGGGCAUGUUAUCUUUACUGCCUGCAGAUGGCUAUUUGAUUGCGAGGGACCCCUAGAAGCAGAACUAGCAGCUUGUGAGGAAGGUCUCCGUCUAGCUCUGCAUUGGUCUCAAGCCUCGCUUCAGGUUGAGACGGACUGUGCCGAGAUCAUCACCCUUGUAAAAGCUGGGCGGGGUGAUCGAUCCAGAAAUAUGCACCAAGUUACUGAGAUAGUGCAUCUGCUCAACGAACGCCACACUGAAAUCCAUAAAAUUAGUCGUGGGCAAAAUAAAGCUGGGCAUGCAAUGGCGGCAAUUGGUCGUGGACAACAUCGCACAGCUUGUUGGCUUGCAAAUGCUCCCCAGGAGAUUAGCGCUAUCAUUACCGAUGAUUGUAAAACUGUUAUUGCUUAA